CAACAGCAUUGUGCCAUCCUAACGUUCUUUGGCACUGGUAAUGAGGGACUACAGGGACUAAGAUCCAUGGAGUAUGUGGCUUCUUUAGAAAAAUACGCUUCCCAGUGCAGAGGAGCUGAAUGGGGUGCUGAAGAUGAGACUGGGGGUUUUAUAAAUAUUCAGAGCCCCUGGAAGUGCACGAGUGCACAAGGGAUUGUCGUGAGAGCAGAGGAUGUCGGCACCUCAGGCUGCAGUUAUUGCUGAGCUGGGCUCUGGCACCAGCCAGCCACUCUGCUGCCGUAGGACAAGUGUUUGGCCUUGUACAAUUUUGUUCUUAUGUGAAACCCAGAGAGUUUGAGAGAGUGUUUAAAUCAGUUCUGCUGGUCUGCGGAUCAGGUUCAAAUAUAAAUUCAAAAGCCAGUAUUCCGCAUUUCUGACAUGAGAUGUAAGCACCGGUAUCAUUUACCAGUGAGGCCUUGCAAGAGCUUUACAGUGAGCAGAUAAAGAAGGCAAAUGGACAGUGACAGCCAUGUAAUCCAGUGUCUGAUUGCUUUUCCACAUGUCACUGGUGAAACACUCGACUCCCCCCUCGGCCUUAGGAGAGUACUGGAGAAUACUCAGACUCAUUCAGUCUAAUGCAGUCCAUGUGGAGAGAGAUUAUUUUGAAGGAAUACUUUGCUGAGAUUAUGCGUUCUGGAAGUGUUUUGACAAUUCCUCAUCAUUAAAAAUACAUCUGCAAGCCUGAGCAACAGAUAGGAGUGAGGAACUACACAAAAAGAAACAAACCUGAAACUUUCCACCGUGAGUUGAAAAAAUAGAAAUACUUUUAUUAACAUUUUUCAUAAAUAUUUGAUCCAAAUGCUUGGUAACUUUUGAUCCCAUCCUAGCAACUGAUCCCUGUAAAACUGUAGUUAAAUAUUUUUCAAGAGAAGCUGCCUCAGCUUUGUUUAUGCUCUUUUAGUUGAACCUCACUUCAUUUUCCCUUUUAUUGACAAACUGUUUCAAAUUCCAGUAACGCUAGCCUACUCUUUAUUUAAAUUCAUUCAGUCUAGUCCUGGUGGUUUAGAAGUUUAUAUAGAACAAUUUUCUUCAAAGUCCUUUUCUGCUAUUAGCCUUUUUUCACCUAAGAGAAUUUCAUGACUAUCCACUGUCUCUUGAUGCUGCAAUUGCUCUCAAAUUUGUAUUUGCAUUUCUGCAUGUUCAUAAAGCAAUUACGAGAUACCAGAGAAAAUCUGUGUACCCUGGUCCUGCUGCUUUUCUCAUUGUCAGUAGUAAACAGUUGUGAGGUUUUGGUUUAUUUUGUUUUGUUUUUAAAGUGGUAUGGCAGGCCUGGUAGUGCUGCUGCUCCUGCCCCUGUGGACAGAGGGAGAGCCUGGAGGGAUGGUAGGGCAGAAGGCUUCCCCAGCUGCUGUGGCAGGAAGACACCUUUUUGUUGUCCUCUGUUGCUCAGGUUUUGGAGCUCAGAGCUCCAGGGUUCUUCUGGAUUCAGGACAACUCCUAUUCUGGCAUCUCCUUUGGAUUAGAAAAUGGCAGCUGCUGUUCUUUUUUUUUUUUUUUUUUUUUUUUUUUUAAUAUGAUCUAGUGAUCUUUAGACACAUGCAAACUGAAGUUUACUGGAUCAAUUUUGUCAGCUUUACCAUUAGUCACAUAUAAAUGUGAAAUAAAAAGCACAAUAUUGUUUCAUGCCAUUUCCUUAAAAAACUCAACUGUUGUAAUCAUGUUUUCUUUGCAAUAUGACCUUAACUUCCUUUCUCAGUCACUAGAUUAGGAAAAUAAAUUUUAGAGCUGUGUUUGUGUGCAUAUUGCUUUUCCUUUUCGUGGUAGUAUAACAACCCUAGCAAUAAUAGAGUUUGUGAUUACAUUUUGUGAUUCUUUCAUCCAUUAUAGUAGUACCUAUUUCUAUUAAUAACAUAUAUAUUUGGGGUGGCUUUUAUAUUUUGAUUGUGAAAUAUUCUUAUAACAGCUUUUUUGUUGUUUUUGUGAGAAUUGGACUCAUGUUAGCCCCAUAGCCACAUUUUUCAAAAUCAUAUAAUCAUUCUUUAUCAUCUUGCCUAUUGAGUAAGUUAGCAUAACUUUAAAAUGUUGUUUUGUGUUGUAUUGUUUGCUUUUGUUAUUUUGAAUUAAUUAAUUAUUUUAAGAAAUUGAUAUUCAAACAACAGGUUCAAUUUUCCAAUAAAGAGGGUUAAUGGAACGUGCAGAUUUUGAUUUUACUACUAUUCACAUCUGGCAGCAAGUUCAGUGCUUGGUGUUUAAUAUUUUAUGUUGAUAUCCACAGUGCUAAAAAUACAGAAUGUUUCAAUGUUAGAUGUAACUCCACAAAUGCUUGUCGCAUUAACACAAACAUUUCCACUGAGCAAAAUACAAUUACUCAUAUGAAAAUGAUUGUUUACACAGUAGUGGUCUAUACUCUCAAGUAUCCGUCUGUUAAAAAAAUAAAUAAAUAAAAAGAGAGAAAAAGAAAAGCUUAC
ensembl:lncRNA